rnacentral:rRNA from 1 species
CCUACGGGGCGCAGCAGUGAGGAAUAUUGGUCAAUGGACGAGAGUCUGAACCAGCCAAGUAGCGUGAAGGAUGACUGCCCUAUGGGUUGUAAACUUCUUUUAUAUGGGAAUAAAAUGUUCCACGUGUGGGAUUUUGUAUGUACCAUAUGAAUAAGGAUCGGCUAACUCCGUGCCAGCAGCCGCGGUAAUACGGAGGAUCCGAGCGUUAUCCGGAUUUAUUGGGUUUAAAGGGAGCGUAGGUGGAUUGUUAAGUCAGUUGUGAAAGUUUGCGGCUCAACCGUAAAAUUGCAGUUGAAACUGGCAGUCUUGAGUACAGUAGAGGUGGGCGGAAUGCGUGGUGUAGCGGUGAAAUGCUUAGAUAUCACGAAGAACUCCGAUUGCGAAGGCAGUUCACUGGACUGCAACUGACACUGAGGCUCGAAAGUGUGGGUAUCAAACAGGAUUAGAUACCCUGGUAGUC